UACGUAGGGUGCGAGCGUUGUCCGGAAUUAUUGGGCGUAAAGAGCUCGUAGGCGGUGUGUCACGUCGGCCGUGAAAACCUGCAGCUUAACUGUGGGCGUGCGGUCGAUACGGGCAUCACUGGAGUUCGGCAGGGGAGACUGGAAUUCCUGGUGUAGCGGUGAAAUGCGCAGAUAUCAGGAGGAACACCGGUGGCGAAGGCGGGUCUCUGGGCCGAUACUGACGCUGAGGAACGAAAGCGUGGGGAGCGAACAGG
rnacentral:rRNA from 1 species